rnacentral:lncRNA from 1 species
AUGGGUGACUCUGUGCUACGGCUCGGUUCUGUCUCUCAGUCUGAGAACAGAGUGGUGGUGGAGAGAUUCAUUUUCACUUCUCUACAUUUCCUGGAGGGAUGCAAGGAGGAUGGAGUGGGGCAGAGCAUCUGCCCUUCUGGCUGUGCCUUCAUUCACACUGCCCGGGUAAAAAUGGUCCCAUGGAAGCUGGGGAGCCCCUUCAGCAUGCCAAAAAGCCCAACACCACAGCAGGAAAAUCCACGGCAAGGUGCUGGUUUCUCCUUACCCAGCUGCCUCCUGCAUCCCUGGGCUCCAGCAUCUGCCGCGGGCAGGCGGCCGGGCGACUCCAUCCCCUUGGCGACCCAUGGGACCACAGGGGACACGAGCCGAAACACACUGAACCUUGAAACUAAAGAAGCCUCAAACCUGUCAUUAAAGCAGCUGCAUUGGCAAUAAAUUUAGUAUUUAAAGAAGUUCGUCGACUGUUUAAAAUGCAGCGAGAGUAGCUAUGGGAACAACUUCAACAGGGUUUUAUCGUGCUGAAACGUGACCCUGUAAAGACAUGCAGAAAGGCUCCUGGAAGCACUGACACUUUUUCUCUCAAAGGAAAGAGUUAAGCCUGUUUCAGAUCGGCUAGCAAAAUGAACCAGGAGCAGUCAGGCAGCUCAGUUACAGGCUGUAAAUAUAAAUGAAAAUGCAUUGGCUUUGUGAGAUUGCAGGGGGGGAAACAAAACAAAACAAAACACGACAAACACAACAGACUGUAAAUUUAGAUCUGGGAUAUAAACAAAGUGCUUUUUCUUUUGAAACAUUUGGAAAAUACAUUGAUGUUAUCUGAAUAUAUGACAGUAGAAGUAGUGGUAAUAACAUGUUUUAAAAACUGAAAAAGGUGAAAAAAUGCCAUGUAAGGCUUUUGGGAAACAAAACACUUUUCUUAGUGAAAGGAGCAGGAAUAAAGGGAAAACUGAAAAUAUUUAUCUUUCCGAU